rnacentral:rRNA from 1 species
GACGAACGCUGGCGGCGUGCUUAACACAUGCAAGUCGAGCGGUAAGGCCCUUUCGGGGGUACGACGAGCGGCGAACGGGUGAGUAACACGUGGGUGACCUGCCCUCAGCUCUGGGAUAAGCCUGGGAAACCGGGUCUAAUACUGGAUAUGACUCCAUGACGCAUGUUGUGGGGUGGAAAGCCUUGUGCGGCUGAGGAUGGGCCCGCGGCCUAUCAGCUUGUUGGUGGGGUGAGGCCUACCAAGGCGACGACGGGUAGCCGGCCUGAGAGGGCGACCGGCCACACUGGGACUGAGACACGGCCCAGACUCCUACGGGAGGCAGCAGUGGGGAAUCUUGCGCAAUGGGCGAAAGCCUGACGCAGCGA